rnacentral:pre_miRNA from 1 species
UUAUUACUCCCUCCGUUCGGAAUUACUUGUCGCGAAAAUGGAUGUAUCUAGAUAUAUUUUAGUUUUAGAUACAUCCAUUUCCAAGACAAGUAAUUCCGAACGGAGGGAGUACAUC